ACACCGGCAGCUCAAGUGGUAGCCGCUUUUAUUGGGCCUAAAGCGUCCGUAGCCGGUCUGAUAAGUCUCUGGUGAAAUCCCACAGCUUAACUGUGGGAAUUGCUGGAGAUACUAUCAUGACUCGAGGUCGGGAGAGGCUGGAGGUACUCCCAGGGUAGGGGUGAAAUCCUGUAAUCCUGGGAGGACCACCUGUGGCGAAGGAGUCCAGCUGGAACGAACCUGACGGUGAGGGACGAAAGCCAGGGGCGCGAACCGGAUUAGAUACCCGGGUAGGCCUGGCCGUAAACGAUGUGGACUUGGUGUUGGGAUGGCUUCGAGCUGCCCCAGUGCCGAAGGGAAGCUGUUAAGUCCACCGCCUGGGAAGUACGGCCGCAAGGCUGAAACUUAAAUGAAUUGGCGGGG
rnacentral:rRNA from 1 species